ACGGCGAGUGAAGCGGGAUGAGCUCAAGCUUAAAAUCUCUGUGUCGGUUCGGCAUGGCGAAUUGUAGUCUAUGGAGGCGCUGUCAGUGCGACUAUGUGGGUUAAGUUCCUUGGAAGAGGACAGCAUCGAGGGUGAUACUCCCGUAUGUACCUGUGUAGUUGCGCGUACGACACGUUUUCUUUGAGUCGUGUUGUUUGGGAAUGCAGCACAAAGUAGGUGGUAAAUUCCAUCUAAAGCUAAAUAUUGGUGCGAGACCGAUAGCGAACAAGUACCGUGAGGGAAAGAUGAAAAGAACUUUGAAAAGAGAGUUAAAGAGUACCUGAAACCGCUGAAAGGGAACCGGAUCGUUUCCAGUGUCUAUAAUCUAUGGCAUAUUUCAUUGGCGUGUGGGUGCGUGCAGCGUUUUGGAAGUAGUUUUCUGCUCCUGUCGUUGUUUUGCGCUCGCCUGCUGGUGCCCUGUGCUGUAGUGGGACGUCAGAGUCAAUUCGUAUGCUGCGGGAAAUGGUUACUGGGGAGGUAGGUCACUUCGGUGGCUGUUAUAUCCUGGUGACUAGUCGUCGUGGUUGGGAUUGAGGUGCCUACAAUGUGCUUUCGAGUCUGUGGGUCUCUCGUUUGGCCGUUUGCCUUGAUAGCUUGCUAUGUUGGUGAAUGUGUCGGGCGAUUGGGAUCUGUAGUAACUU
rnacentral:rRNA from 1 species